rnacentral:rRNA from 1 species
UACGUAGGGGGCAAGCGUUGUCCGGAUUUAUUGGGCGUAAAGAGCGUGUAGGCGGCUUUGCAAGUCCGUUGUGAAAACUCGAGGCUCAACCUCGAGACGCCGGUGGAAACUGCAAAGCUAGAGUCCGGAAGAGGAGAGUGGAAUUCCUGGUGUAGCGGUGGAAUGCGCAGAUAUCAGGAAGAACACCCGUGGCGAAGGCGGCUCUCUGGGACGGUACUGACGCUGAGACGCGAAAGCGUGGGGAGCGAACAGG